GGGACGGGUGUUCGCAAGGGGAGUUAGUCCACACGCAGUGCGGGGGUCCGCAGCAGCAAGAUGAAGUGCACACCCGUGGAGCACCGACCACACACGCUCCAAGAGACAGCUGAAUCUCCGCAGAAUUCCUGACCGAGUACUCGAGUGCGCACUGGAUGACUGUUACAAGAAGACAGAGGAGUGCCUUGAACCGUACCACCUGCAGUAUGCUAAAAACCCAGCCUCCUUGCGGGAAUUUCAGCUGAAACAUUGUGCCUACGUCGCCAAGGACUUCCCCCAUUACUGUGAGACCAUGGAAUGCACCAAGGAAGUGGAUGCUUGCGGAACGCAGAAUCGGAUUUUGAUAGAAGAGGAGAACGGGCCUGAUGUGGGUCUCAUUGCUGGCGUUGUGGGUGGACUGCUGGUGGCCAUCAUCGCGGUGGCCUGCGUUGUGCUGUUCAUCAAGAAACGAAGCCAGAGUCGUGGGAGCAGCCCCAACGGACGAGGCUCUCCCGUGCAGUUCAGCCAAGUUGCAACCACCGCCAAUGUGUGAGGAAGCAAGAGAGCGAGCAUGUGUGCCAACAUGUACGUACAUGCGUACGUGCUGUGUGGUACGGAAAUCUUUGUGUCACAGUGAUGGACAACUCAAAAAGACCACACGUGCCACUCAAACCUAUGUUUCUUGCGCAUAUCUUGUUAAUUAGACUGUGUAAGUUUCUUGAUUGGCAUGCAAUGGGGGGACCGUGUACGUCCCGUGCGGUCUUUUGAAUUGCCUAUGCAUGGUUUUCUUGCUCAAUAAUAAUUGCGUUGCUUUGGAUCUGCGUUUUACUGAAUAAUUCCACUAACACAUUCUAUUGCAAAAUUGUAACGAAUGACAUCAAAGACAGCAAUAACAAUGUAAUGAUCUGACUAAACAAAAUGAAAGCAUUGAAUCGAAUUUCUCCAAGAUAAAUGCAAUGUAAUCCUAACGUUUGGCCAUAAAACGUUAGGCACAUAAAAAUAUUGUGCUUGUGAGACUCCUGACAUAUGCGGGUAACUUCAUUGUAAACGCAACUUGCAGUUAACUCUAGAGAUCCAUUGUGUCUAAACCUCCUCUCUUCAAUUGCAGUCCCAAGUGGUUCAUAAUAUAUGGAUAUGUGAGACGGUGCAGCAGAUAGCUUGGUCCGUUAACCACAAAGCAUUUUCCUCUUGGUCCUCCCCCCAUGAUAUUGGCACUCAUGAAUCUGGCCCUGAACGGCAUUAUUGGACACCUUUGUAAGUAUUAUGAAGUUGAUCUCCGCUGACAUCAAAUUGUGAUUGAAUAAAUUGACCCAAAGCGAUAAAAGGGUAUCUGUUGAAAUUUGCACUGACGAGAUUGAUAUUUGUUAUGUCUUUAAGACAACUUAAAAUACUAGAGGACCAUUGUAUAAUUAGAGUCCGCAUAGAUUACCGUUAUGCUUUUCGUUGCUUAUCAUUCAGGUGAAUUUUCGUGCAUUUUGGUGAUCUGGAUGUCUGCAGGGCGAGGUUCUCAAACUCCAGUCCUCGCGACCCAUCAUACUCUGUCUUUCUACAUUUACGUUCUGACGCGCCCCUACUACAUUCUCAUCUACCCCGACUGGACGUCUGUGGAUAAAAAAUAGCUUUAUAGCUCACCGGAUUCCUCCAGUAUGAAUACAUUUUCUGAUUCAGAGUUACCAAUUUACUCCCAAUUUAAAUACAAAUGAACUUGUUCGAUGCUGCACGGGCCAAAUUAUUGUCAAACACGUCCAAUGUGAUGUGAUAAUCAAUUAACGCUGUCUGUGUAAAUAUAGCACAAUCAAAUAAAUAUUUAGAUCUGUGUGUGUGUGCACUCGUGGUUCCACGCGACGCGUAUAGCGUUAAUUGCUUAGCUCUCGUCACGUUAGACGUGUUUAACAAUCAUGGGGCUCGUGCGGCGUGGAACGAGUUCAUUUUAUUUGAAUGGGGGGUAAAUUUGUAAAUGCCGAGAGACGUAGCAUAGUGAGUCACGCGGACUGGAGUUUGGGAAACCGUGUUCUAUGAGUUUUUUUAUUAAAACUGUGGUUCGCUGGUUCGAGCUGAGACUCCAGACCCCUCUCACAAAGCAGAUGCAAUCCACAAAAACACUACAGCACUUACUCAUUAGACAUAUUAAUAUGAAUAAGAAUGCGCUUUUUUAGGGUCCUGCUUUGGGAUGUUUAGCCAAUUCCAUGAAUGAGUGGUUAUUUUAACUCGAGAAUUCAGCCUUGAAUUACUCUAUACUGUUCCAGUGUCCGGUCCUGGAAGACAUUUACAGGGUUGCCCAGAUGUCGUGUGACGGCCAUUUAAUUAUCCUAAACUUACAGGUUCAUUUAAUAUAUAAAUGAAUAUACAAUGAAUAUACAAAGGAAAACAUGUUAUGGGUCAAUUAAUUGAAGGUCACAUGACAUCUGCACCACUCUGUACAGUGCAAGUAAUAAUGUGUAAUUUCAUAUAUAGACUUUCACAACCAAUAUUAUUACGAUUCUGAAUUAUUUUCUAUUUGGGCUAGAUCGUGUCGGUUUAGUCACGUAAACAAAAUGUUACUCUAACCCUCCACCACCUGAUAGAAUCAAUCAGCUUGAUUUGUUUGGCUUUGUAAGGUGGUGAAGGUUUACGAACGAAAUCAAUUAUGAAUAAGCAAUAAUAUUUAAUCUGCUCACUCAAAAGAUUAAUUAUUUAUCCCUUUAUGUAAUAAGAUGUUAAAUGUGUUGUAUAACAUCAUGCAAUAGCGGGUAAAGUGUCUACAGAGGGCAUUGAUACACAUGGUCUCUUAGACCCAGGGUCAUCCUAUGAUUAAAGCUGUGGUUAGCACGGUUGGCUCCGUACGGUGCGAAAUAAGUUCAACAUACAUUGUGUACCAUUUUUUUUAUCCUCAUUAACGAAGCUCCGUGUCUAUGAAGGAGGCAGAGUGUUGUUGUGGAUUGUGUGUUCCUUUAGGCUAAGGCUUUGCGCGAUAAUUCUGUUAGAUUCUGGCCUACCGCUGUCAUGAAUAUAGGUAUAAACGUUUCCACAAUAUAGACUGACAGCCUAAUUACUGCACCACCGCCCCCAAUACAUACACACACACAAUCACAAUAAUCAUUAGCAUCGGUGUGAAGAGUACAAACAACGGGAUAAAUGGACACAAUUUCAGUAAACAUGAAUCGUUGUUGGAAAAUUCUAACAACACGCCAAAGUUGGAUGUUAACUGAGAUGUCUCCAAAACAUAAUUAAAAUCUGAAAUAAAUAUCUAUUGUAUUGUAUAAGACAUUAUUGGUGCUGCUUGGUGCACAUUAUUGCAAUGGUGUGUAAUCUCUCUUUAAUAAUCGCUGGGGUUCAUUUUAAUGAAAUGAGUUUUUACUCUUGGAGUUUAUCUUCAAUAUAAUUGUUCAUUCAUAUGUUUAAGGAGACAUCGGCAAAGUUGCACAGGAUAACAGAAGCUAGCUGUUCACCACUGAAAAAGAAAAAAACACAUUCGUCGAUAAUAUUGUCACCUUAAAAAGAAAAAAAGGUUAUAGUAGGGGACGUUUCGGGCAAUGCCCGUUUUCACAGUACAUAGGAAAGAGGAGCAAUUGCGCGGGACAUCGCUGAUUGUAUCUUACGAUUCUUCAAGCCAAUCGUGACGCUGGUUUCAUGUCUAUACUGCGAUUCACAUUCACGCCAGCGGAAGGUGUGAAUGUGCCUGUGGAUAGACUUUAGCCUCCUCAUGCCGAGGCGGGGCCCGGCAUGUUUUUUUUAAAUAGCAGCUCAAUAAACGUGCAACGUUGAGCCAACGUUAGCACAAUAUUAAAACGUUUGGACCAACGUUGGCUCAACGUUACAUAUUUACUGGGGGGUUGGGUGAAGACAACAUGUGAUUUGAUUUCAAUACGGUGGUUCGUUUUCAACACCAGUUUGGUUUUCUUCAUAUUUGAAUAUAAACA